rnacentral:ncRNA from 2 species
GCGUGUCAUGAUGGCGCCGGUCCCCCGCGAGGAAUACCGGUGCAAGUCCGGAGCGGUCCCGCCACUGUGAUCCCGACGCGUUCGGGAGAGCCAGGACGUCGCCGGGGGCUCUCGUGCCCG